rnacentral:rRNA from 1 species
AGAGUUUGAUCCUGGCUCAGAGCGAACGCUGGCGGCAGGCCUAACACAUGCAAGUCGAACGGACCCUUCGGGGUUAGUGGCGGACGGGUGAGUAACACGUGGGAACGUGCCUUUAGGUUCGGAAUAGCUCCUGGAAACGGGUGGUAAUGCCGAAUGUGCCCUUCGGGGGAAAGAUUUAUCGCCUUUAGAGCGGCCCGCGUCUGAUUAGCUAGUUGGUGAGGUAAUGGCUCACCAAGGCGACGAUCAGUAGCUGGUCUGAGAGGAUGACCAGCCACAUUGGGACUGAGACACGGCCCAAACUCCUACGGGAGGCAGCAGUGGGGAAUCUUGCGCAAUGGGCGAAAGCCUGACGCAGCCAUGCCGCGUGAAUGAUGAAGGUCUUAGGAUUGUAAAAUUCUUUCACCGGGGACGAUAAUGACGGUACCCGGAGAAGAAGCCCCGGCUAACUUCGUGCCAGCAGCCGCGGUAAUACGAAGGGGGCUAGCGUUGCUCGGAAUUACUGGGCGUAAAGGGCGCGUAAGCGGACAUUUAAGUCAGGGGUGAAAUCCCAGAGCUCAACUCUGGAACUGCCUUUGAUACUGGGUGUCUUGAGUGUGAGA